rnacentral:lncRNA from 1 species
UUCUUUUCACUUCCUCCGCUCCUCAGAUUCUCCAAUCUCCAGUUCUCCUCUUGAUUUUUUUUCUUAAUUUUUCUUCAUAAUCCUUCCACUUCCUAAUACCCACGACAAGAUCAUCACACUAUUAUCUUUAGACAAGACUCCAGAGCAUUUCCAUCUUGUGAGUUUAAUUUUUGCCUUUUCUUGAUUUUUGUUUUCUAUAUUAUGUUUAGUUGAUUUUUGCCUUUUCUUGAUUUAUGUUUUCUAUGUAGAGAUUAGAGCACUUAUUUAGUUUUUGUGACAAUACAUCAUGACAUUUGUUCCGUCCAUAAAUAUUUGCCGUAACUUGUGUAUAUGUCCUGAUUUAAUUUAUAGUUAAAUAAAAAAUCUUGCCUAAAGAUAACCAAAAGGAUCAUGCCUAACAACAAAGUAUUUUUCGUUUGAAUAGUGGAACAGGAAUAAUAGGAAUUGGAAAAUAUCUAGUACUACAUUGUUCAUUUGCUUUCCUCUCGUACUACGAUGAAAUGCUUACUAGACAAUAAUUUGAAAUGUGCAAUAAGAUGUUUUUGAUUAACCAUUUUAAUUAUAUCCAAAAUAGAGAAUUAUUAGCCAAAAUUUAUUUGCUUGCAUCAUCAUUACAAUUUCCAACACACCUUUUUAUCUUCCCAAUUACCUUUUUAUCUCACAUACAUCACAUCACAAAAAGUGCUACAGUAAAAAUAUCUCAAAUAAUUUACAAUCCAAACAGCAGUUGAUUCUUUUUUUGUUUGGUUGUAUCUUUGUUUUUCAAAAUUUUUUGGCUUUUUUUUUAGUUUCACCAAUUAGAUUUAUAUUUUUUAUAAUAAACUUUUUAAUUUUUUCAGGUUAAAUUGAUGAAAUUGUGAAGUGGGUGCUGUUGCCUUGUCAUGCCAAUGAUGGAAGUUUGUUAUUCAAAUUAUUUGCCUUGACUAUGAGUUGGACUUUUCUAUGAACUUUUUUUUGAAUUGUGGAAGAACGUCAACAUUUAUUUUAUUUAUUUUUGUGUUUUUGUUUGUUUAUAAUUGAUGAACAUUUGGACUAUAUCUAUUUAUGUUUGUAAUGAAUUAUGAAAAUUUGCGAUGAAUUAUGAUAUUUUAGUUAUAUUUAUCAUUCCAGGUUUUAUGUAUAACUUUUAAAAAUUUUAUUAUUAUCUCAACUUAAAUUUAAUUUUAAGUUA